rnacentral:lncRNA from 1 species
GGUAGGGUGGCAGUGGAAGGCUUAAUCAGAGUGGAUUCUGGAACAUUCAGGACUGCGGCACCUUGUAUCUGGACAGGGAUUUGGGACUGUGCAGGAGACGACUGGUGGUCCAGUGUGGCUUAAGGACUUGAUGGCGUAACCCACUUCUUCCACGGAGGAGACUGGGGAGAUGGAUUUGAAGAGGAUUGAACAAAUUGGAAGAAAAUAUUUGUCCUCUGCUUUGGUGUCAGAAAAGGGAAUUUUCCAAUCUGCCACACCUCAGUGUUGCGGCAAAAAUAAUUCUUGGCUCCCCUGGAAACUAUCGGGCAAGGUAGGGCAGAACUGCUGCUGCUGUCGCCAUUACCCUGGGCUUCCUAUUGAAUGGGCUGCUCCCAAGUGAACAGAUCUGCGUUGAUGCUCUGGUCGUCCAAAAGUCCUCAAAUCAGCUCUGAGCUGAGCCCACUAUUGGAAGAAUCUGCCUUUUGGAAGUUGACGCUACCUUGUGCUUGGGAAGAUUUGGCUCAAGCACUCUUUCCCUGCCUGGAGACUUAUUGGGGAUGUAAAAUGAGAGAAUAGCAGGUGACCAGCAAAUUAGGGGAGGAUUAAAUACUUCCAAGUUGUCACAGCAAGAAGAAAGAGGAAUAUCUCAGGAGUUUGACCUCAAGCCUACAAAGUGGUGGUAUUCUACCAAGAUGUCUGUAUGCUUCAUGAUGCUGUUGAGUCCUGUGGGAGGAGAAUCUGAGCACCCUGAUGCCCCUUAUCCCCAAUACUGCACUGUGGAGCUGAGAGUGACAACAGCCAAGAAUUCUGUAGAGUACAGCUCCAUCUGUAAGUAGAUGACAAUUUCUUGGCAACACAGGCUCAGCUGAGGAUGGUGUUUGUGCAUCUAAGCCAUCAUGCUAGAGCAGUUUGCCUACAUUUUUGUGGAACGGCAAAGAGGACCUGCUUGACCACCCUUCUUUCUGUGGGUACUGAAAGAUGAAAAGUCAUGCUGGAUGAGGUUGCUGAGGUGGGAUGAGGGCCAGUAGGAUGCCAUGUAUAGAGAAGGAAAGACUUGGAGCACUCCAUGUGGCCAAAGCUCAAAUCCUAAUGGCCUUGGAUGUCUAAGACCUUGGAUGUCACUUUGCUAGAUUCACUAGCCACAGCUUUCUGGCCACAUGUUCUACCUAGCCUGACAGCUAAAGACAAAAUGUCCUGGAUGCUGGGCCCAGGCUGCUGCUGAAAGUGACAAGCCAGGCACCCUCUUCAGUGCACAUAAGCAGGUAGUCUUUUUUGGAGGUAAGAUGUUCCUUUUUCUUUCAAAAAGGCCUUCCCUAACCUUCUCUCCCAAAGAUGAAUGAGUUGGGAACUCCUAAAUCAGCCUUCAAAGGCAGGCAAAGAAAUGGAUGACAGGCUUCUGGCACCCUCCCCCACCCUGGCUGGAAUUCUCAUCAUGCACAUAGCUGUGACUCAGCACUCACUGCUGGGUCAGGAGAGAGAAGCUAUUGCCUGGCUGGAACCUUCCCACAUUCUGCAUGUGAGCACAUCGAACAGCACAGGCUGGGCCAGCAGGGUGAGGUUCCUGGGGCAAGUAUUUUUCUCCUCUAACCCAUAUUCUUCCCACAUUUUAGGGAUUUCUGUUCUGGGCCCAGGGUAUUUAGGACUCUAAAAACCAUUGCAUCAGCCAUAGACUAAAGUAUACGUAGUCUUUUUCUUCUUUGCUUUUAACCAGUGGCCCAUGAAAAGUGUUCAACCUUUAUUUGUACUGUUUGGCUUUCAUGGGUUGGGUUUUCUAUGUGUUAAUUUUAUAUCUAGACAGAAUAUGACUUUUCAAGAUUACUGUACCUCUCUUGCAUGCUGUUGUUGUCUCUGGCUGUGUGUAUACGUGUGUUCUGACCAGUUUUCCCUAGCUUGUCUUUACAGAUGAAGACACUGAAGCCAUUCAAGACUAUGGCAGGGCCCUGUUCUCAGCAUAUAGACAAGCAGGUGUUCUAAUUUACCAAGGAGUGACAUUGCCUCUCCCUGUCUGCCCCUGCCUUACCAAAGGAGUGACCUGUCAUGGGAGGGUAGAAUGGCUUCCAGAGAGAAAUAAGUAUAGGAACAGAUGGAGGCUGAAGAGUGGCGUCUCAGACUUCUUACCUGCUCUGUGGCCUGUUCAGAACUGAAAAGUGAGGCAGGGUUUCUUUUCUAGACAACUCUAUUAAGCCCAGUAGCAUAAAGUUUACUUGAAGCCACUCAGUUGAGAAGGGAGAUCCCAUUAUUCUCACUGAGAGCAGAGCCCUAACAGCCCUAAGGUUUUCAAGGGCUGCCCUCUUAGACAUUCAGGUAACUCUCAGGCCUGGUGCCAGAGAGCUACAGUCUUCCGGAGUUUAUCAAAUCAUCCAGCUAUUCCAAAGUAGUGAAGGAUCACCACCUUGUUUCAGAAAAGGGACACUGCUCAGCUGACUACAGAAAUCCUGCUUUUAUAGGAUGCUGAAGACUGAGUGGGAUUGGAUGAACAUAAGGUUUAAAUGCUAGGACUACUUUCCCUCCUCUGUAGUUCACUGCUUAAAUUAUCUUUCAGUGAUUCUUAUUUACAGAAAACAGGGUUUGCAGUCCAUGGAUGUAAUCCUAGUCCUUCACUGGUAGUUUCCCCUUGCCAGGCCCUUUAUUUGCUGGAUAGGAAGAAAGGAAUUAGCUUCAUGGCAUGCUGAGGACCAAAAGAAACAGGUGUUUUCUAAAUGAUAGCAAACUGGAAUAGCCUGAGGGAAAGCUUUCUAGAGCUGAGAUGGCUGACAGAGGAGGUGGAGGAUUGAUAAAAGGAGAUGCCAGCACAAGCAGAACCUUCUGGGAGGAAAGGUGUGCCCUGGAUCCCUGCAGGAUCUCUCUCCUUAGCAUAGAGGGAGGGGAUUGGGGGAUGGUAGAGGAAGUUGCUAAGAAAAUUAGGCUGAAAUGGAAAUCAGAAGAGUUGAAUAUUAUCAUAUGCAAAUCUCACCUUCCCCUUCAUUUACAGGAUUUUGACCCUUGUUAAUAACUGCCAUCUAAUCUAUUUAUGACCUAAAGCCCUCCCUAUCAUGGGUUAGAGUUCCUAACCCUCAGGCUCUAAUUUUGCCAACCAAUGUCAGUGUCACUCAGAAACCCAGUGUAUAGAUCUUCCAGCACUCAUCUGCAGCUAAGGCCCUGGAAAGCCCCAGGGAGGCUGCUGGGCCUUCUGUUUCUCCUCUGGCUGGCCCAGUUUCUGAGAAGUCAGUGUCAGCAUUGCUAGGCUUCAUUGCUAUCAUCUUCUCUAUUGCUGGAAAGAAUAAAGGGGCACCAAUGAGGCAAAAGAACAAAAGCAGGUCCUCCUAGACUACUUGACCUCUUGCAGUACCAACGAUGUGUUCUCAUCUUCACCCAGGGAUAGCAUGUUUACAGUGAGUCUCCCAUCCAGAUUGUCUGAGCUAAAUCCCCCUCCCCAGUCUAGCUCUGAGUUCAGUUCAAGAGAAAAGAGGUCACAGUCAAGCUGUGGAUCAAGCAGCAACAGUGGGCAGAGGGAAAGGAAUAUAGACAUUAGCUCAUCGUAUCCUGUGACUACAGUUUCUUGUGCAGACAUCGGAAUAAUAACCUACUUCACUGGAAUCUUGGAACAAUUGAAUAUUGUGACUCUGGGGAUACUCACAUUAUAUUUGCUCUAUUACCCCAAAACAGCCAGGAGCCAUAAAAAAAUAUGCUUGUAUCUGGAAGCCAAAAAGUUUUUCUGGGGAACCUGAAAAAUACAGCUCUACUCUUUGUCUCCUUUCAAAGAUGACAGUUGUGACAUCAGAGGAAAUAUACAGCAAAAAUGCAGUACAAUGUGAAACAUAGCUUGUGAAUCUUAUUUUUAGGUACAUUUUUAAAACAUACCUUGUUUUGUGUUAGAGGGUUAUCUGUAUAAUACAGUGUUAAGAUACCAGCUUUUAAAAAGACAUUAGGGGUUAAAUCAAAUUGCUAGCCUACAGGGUCAUGGGAUAGAGAGCAGGAAGGAACAUACUCUUUUUGAAUAAUACUUGUGGAAGAGUUGUCCUGGCACAGGUGACUUACUUGGGUUCAGUUGUUAACAUCUCAUAGGUCAUUGUCAUUGUCUUGAACAAGUGACAUAUCUACCGACACUAUGCAUCUUGGGAAAUUACAUAAAUUCAAGACAUUACAAAUGUACAUAUGUUGAAUGGAUUUGGUUCUUUUAUUUCAUUGUGUAUGAUGAUUUCUAAUGACUAAUGUGAAGUCACACAGGAAACAAGCUUUGCAUUGUUUUUGUCUGCUCAAAGUGUUGGCUGUAUGGCUGUCAUCUGCGUCUGACAGGCAAAAUGAUUCUCAGGGCUGAGGCUGGUUCUUCUGACUGCACAUCUCUGCUUUCUUCAGUGAGAUCCUCUUCUUCUGGAAGCUGGUUUCACAUGGUGGCUUAGAUUUUUCCAUCUUUGUAUCUAGCACCAUUUGAAAUCAGUGUUUUAGGAGUAAGAAUUGCAGCACAGCAGAGGGUAGACUACAGAGGAACAGCUGUACACAGAACUGGCUCUCUCCUUCGAGAAAUCAAGGGAAGACUUGAAUAGUGACAUUUGCUCUUGAGUCUGUUUGGUUUAGAGGCAGUGAUAGUGAGAAAGUUUUUGUGUUCAGAAUGUAUAAGGGUAUAAUCAGGAAGUGGUCUACUUUAUUCAGCAUUCCAUGGGUGGAAGAGGGUUCCUUGGGCCUGCACUGUUCAUUAAUUGUAGCAAGGAAGGGGUAAGAGCUCUGUAUGUGGAGGACUGCUUCAUUCACAUCAGUAUGGCUCGUCUGAACCUGGAAGAUCCAUGGAGCACUCAUUCAGUCCUGGUUGCAGCACAGCUGAAAUCAGACUGUCACCUGCCUUGAGAUUCAGACCUGAAGAACACCACCAGUCGGUCCAUCUCUUACACAGGCUGACCGAUUUCUCCUGGUGUUCAGAGUCUGUUUUUGUCUAGCACCAUUUGAAAUCGGUUAUGAUGUAGGGGGAAGAGCACCAGCCUCAGAACCUUGUGGUGUCAGCAUCAGCAUCAGCCUAUCACUUCCUACGUGGGCAGAGUGGAAAAGGAAGAUCACAGUUUCCUAACUUCUUUAAUUCGUAUGUAUGUGGCUGCCAAGGUUAGAGAUCACUUAGUGGGGGGUUUUAAUUGUUAUAAUUUAUUGUUGUAAAAUAUUCUCAGUUACAAUUUCUGACAUGUAGUACUGUUAUAAACUAAGUACUGUUAAACGUUGGCUUUAAUAAAUAAUUUGCUACAUUCAAUCUA